AUUGAACGCUGGCGGCAGGCCUAACACAUGCAAGUCGAACGAGUGGCGGACGGGUGAGUAAUGUCUGGGAAACUGCCUGAUGGAGGGGGAUAACUACUGGAAACGGUAGCUAAUACCGCAUACCCUCGGAUGUGCCCAGAUGGGAUUAGCUAGUAGGUGGGGUAAAGGCUCACCUAGGCGACGAUCCCUAGCUGGUCUGAGAGGAUGACAAGCCAAACUGGAAGUGGGAGACGGUCAAGACUCCGACGGGAGGCAGCAGUGGGGAAUAUUGGACAAUGGGCGCAAGCGUGAUGCAGCCAUGCCGCGUGUAUGAAGAAGGCCUUGGGGUUGUAAAGUACUUUCAGCGGGGAGGCGUUACCCGCAGAAGAAGCACCGGCUAACUCCGUGCCAGCAGCCGCGGUAAUAC
rnacentral:rRNA from 1 species